rnacentral:misc_RNA from 1 species
CCAUCAAAAUCCUCCCACCACAUUAAGAUGUUCAUAAAGACAUCCUUUUCUAUAAAGGUAUCUCUUUUAGUAACUUUGCGGCAACCUAAAAGGGUAUCCUGGACGAUACCCAUUACAGGCCUAUUUGCCUGGGGUGAAACAAUACACUUAGGGACCAUCAUAAGCUCCAGAACCUCUGCUCUGGUUUCAAACGACUGUGGAACAUGCAUGUUCAUUUCGUCACCAUCAAAAUCAGCAUUGUAAGGAGAAGUGACAGAUAAAUUCAAGCGGAAAGUUGAGUAUGGCAUGAUCUUAAUCCUAUGUCCCAUAAUAGACAUUUUAUGUAGACUGGGUUGCCGAUUGAAGAGAACAAAAUCUCCAUCAUUUAAGUGCCUCUCAACCUUAUAUCCUAGUUCAAGGUGAUGAUCGCUGCUUUUCUUCAAGUAUCGAAGAUCAAGCCUUUGGUCGUCGUCCCUAGUUAUAUACUUGGCCCCGGUUUUACCAGGAGGUGGAUGAGGUCCAUAUUCAACAAGUUCCUUUAACCUGUGUGAAGAACCCAGCUUCAAUCAGCACAAACAUAUACAGUUCAUACUUCCUUCUUGUUUCUAAUGGGUUGAUGAGUGUGGGGUUUCAUUUCUACAACAACAAAAAAACAGCUUUCAAUGUUAUAUGGUGUCACUGUUUCUGGAUAAGUGCGCUUCAGAGCAAUACUCCAUGGGACUCCCAAUUGAUCAAUGUUAAUAGUUGGAUAGGGGGUAAUCACUGUCCGAGCAGAAAAGUCUACUCUUUUGCCCAUCAGAUUGCCUCUGAGCCGACCUUCCUUUGAUUUUAAUCUACUGCAUAUUGAUUUAACAGAUCUACCUGAUCUUUGCGUAGCUCUUGGUUGUCCAGGCAGAUCAUUAUCAAAAUACGUAGCUAUAUGAAAUUGCAGUAACUGUGCAAACUCCGAAAUAAUGUGCGCCGGUGCCCCAUUCCUUUCCUGCCUCUUCAAAUUCUCGUUGUGACGAAUAAUCAUGGCCAGUUGGUGUGUUAAAUCAUCCUCACUCCUUGAUGAAGUAUCCAUCAUCACAGAAGGCCGAACAGGUGGUAGUGGUACGGGAAGUGCUUGAAGAAUCAUCCAAUCUGGGCGAGCGAACUCUGGAUUUAGGCCAAGCAAGAUGCAGUCUUCGUCAAUUACCCGCUUCAGAUGCCAGAACCAGUCGAUAGGAAGCAACAACUCUCUGCUGAAAGGGGUGUUGAGCAUUCUG